rnacentral:misc_RNA from 1 species
GCAAGAGGAUAUAUUCUGCACUGCAAAAUUCACUGCACUCAGGAGAAGAGAGACUGUCAGAAUCUUGCCUGGGUGCAGUAAGGAUGAAGCUAAAGGAAAAACAUAUGGAUUUUGUUGGUGAUCUAGAUGUGAGAUGGAGACUUAUCAGUGGCAAAGUUACUUCUCGUGAAACCAGAGUGUUAUUAGCAGAAGCUGUUUCAAUCUUCCAUGAUUGCUUUGAUCCUAUUGUUGAUUCGGCAACUGGACG